rnacentral:rRNA from 1 species
UGAGCAAUCUGCCCUUCUCAUCGGAAUAAGCGUUGGAAACGACGUCUAAUGCCGAAUACGACCUCCUUUCGCAUGAUCGGAGGUGGAAAGCUCCGGCGGAGAAGGAUGAGCUCGCGGCCUAUCAGCUAGUUGGUGUGGGUAAUGGCCCACCAAGGCGACGACGGGUAGCCGGCCUGGAGAGGGUGUCCGGCCACACUGGGACUGAGACACGGCCCAGACCUCCGUACGGGAGCAG